GCAGUAGCUCAGCUGUGGAGCCUCCGCUUCACAUACGGGAAGGCCUGGGUUCGAUUCCCGGCUGC
rnacentral:tRNA from 1 species